rnacentral:rRNA from 1 species
AGCGAACGCUGGCGGCAGGCCUAAAACAUGCAAGUCGAACGAGACCUUCGGGUCUAGUGGCGGACGGGUGAGUAACACGUGGGAACGUGCCUUUAGGUUCGGAAUAACUCAGGGAAACUUGUGCUAAUACCGAAUGUGCCCUUCGGGGGAAGGAUUUAUCGCCUUUAGAGCGGCCCGCGGCUGCUUAGCUAGUUGGUGAGGUAAUGGCUCACCAAGGCUACGAUCAGUAGCUGGUCUGAGAGGCUGAUCAGCCACAUUGGGACUGAGACACGGCCCAGACUCCUACGGGGGGCAGCAGUGGGGAAUCUUGCGCAAUGGGCGAAAGCUUGACGCAGCCAUGCCGCGUGUAUGAUGAAGGUCUUAGGAUUGUAAAAUACUUUCACCGGUGAAGAUAAUGACUGUAGCCGGAGAAGAAGCCCCGGCUAACUUCGUGCCAGCCGCCGCCGUAACAC